CGUGUAGGCGGUCGGUCAAGUCCGAUGUGAAAGCCCGGGGCUUACUUCCGGAAGUGCAUCGGAAACUAGCCGGCUGGAGCGCGAUAGAGGAGGGUAGAAUUCCUGGUGUAGCGGUGAAAUGCGUAGAUAUCAGGAGGAAUACCGGCGGCGAAGGCGGCCCUCUGGAUCGUUGCUGACGCUGAGACGCGAAAGCGUGGGGAGCAAACAGGAUUAGAUACCCUGGUAGUCCACGCGGUAAACGAUGGGUACUAGGUGUUCGGGGUAUUGACCCCCUGAGUGCCGCAGCUAACGCAUUAAGUACCCCGCCCUGGGGACUACGGCCGCAAGGUUAAA
rnacentral:rRNA from 1 species